rnacentral:rRNA from 1 species
UACGAGGGGGGCGAGCGUUGUUCGGAAUUAUUGGGCGUAGAGGGUGCGUAGGCGGUUUGGUAAGUCUUAUGUGAAAUCUACAGGCUCAACUUGUAGUCUGCAUGAGAAACUGCCGGGCUUGAGUAUGGGAGAGGUGAGUGGAAUUCCUGGUGUAGCGGUGAAAUGCGUAGAUACCAGGAGGAACACCUGUGGCGAAAGCGGCUCACUGGACCACAACUGACGCUGAGGCGCGAAAGCUAGGGGAGCAAACAGG